GACGAACGCUGGCGGCGUGCUUAACACAUGCAAGUCGAACGGAAAGGCCCUGCUUUUGUGGGGUGCUCGAGUGGCGAACGGGUGAGUAACACGUGAGUAACCUGCCCUUGACUUUGGGAUAACUUCAGGAAACUGGGGCUAAUACCGGAUAGGAGCUCCUGCUGCAUGGUGGGGGUUGGAAAGUUUCGGCGGUUGGGGAUGGACUCGCGGCUUAUCAGCUUGUUGGUGGGGUAGUGGCUUACCAAGGCUUUGACGGGUAGCCGGCCUGAGAGGGUGACCGGCCACAUUGGGACUGAGAUACGGCCCAGACUCCUACAGGAGGCAGCAGUGGGGAAUAUUGCAGAAUGGGCGGAAGCCUGAGGCAGCAACGCCGCGUGCGGGAUGACGGCCUUCGGGUUGUAAACCGCUUUCGCCUGUGACGAAGCGUGAGUGACGGUAAUGGGUAAAGAAGCACCGGCUAACUACGUG
rnacentral:rRNA from 1 species